rnacentral:rRNA from 1 species
UGGGGAAUUUUGCACAAUGGGCGCAAGCCUGAUGCAGCAACGCCGCGUGUGUGAUGAAGGUCUUCGGAUUGUAAAGCACUUUCGACCGGGACGAAACCCGGAUGGCUAACAUCCAUCCGGCUGACGGUACCGGGAGAAGAAGCACCGGCUAACUCUGUGCCAGCAGCCGCGGUAAUACAGAGGGUGCAAGCGUUGUUCGGAAUUAUUGGGCGUAAAGCGCGUGUAGGCGGCUUGGCAAGUCGGGUGUGAAAGCCCUCAGCUCAACUGAGGAAGUGCGCCCGAAACUGCUUUGCUUGAGUGCUGGAGAGGGUCGCGGAAUUCCCCAAGUAGAGGUGAAAUUCGUAGAUAUGGGGAGGAACACCGGUGGCGAAGGCGGCGACCUGGACAGUAACUGACGCUGAGACGCGAAAGCGUGGGUAGCAAACAGGAUUAGAUACCCUGGUAGUCCACGCCGUAAACGAUGAGAACUAGGUGUCGUGGGUGUUGACCCCCGCGGUGCCGUAGCUAACGCAUUAAGUUCUCCGCCUGGGAAGUACGGUCGUAAGACUAA